ensembl:lncRNA
AUGCAGCUACGUGAAGCUCAGAUGGUUCUUAAAGAGGAAAUUCGGCAGUUACAGACCUUCCACAAAGAUAUGCAGAAUUUGAGGCUGCAGCAGCAGUCAGCCUUACCAGCACCUCAACCGCAGCAAACCAGUGCAAUUCCAGUGCCAUUCCCUAUAACCAUUUAUAGACAACCUGAGGUAACAGCACCAAGUCCAGUGCCCUACAUUCCACAGCCUACUCCACGCAUACCCCAAGCACCACCUAGGGAGAGUUCAUUUAAGCCAGGUGCAGACACAUANCUGCUACCACCCAUAAUCUCCCAUAUUCUUCUCCCACGGGGCGGCCUCAGAGCACUGUAUGCUCGUCUAAAGUUGGCCCUUGACAAUCUGCUUCCUGAUGAUGCAACUGAGCUAUUCAAGUAUCAGGUCCUUUUAGAUCAUCUGAAAUUUGAAGAGGCCCGUCUAAUUGCAGACUCAUUCCUCAAUUCCCCUUGGCCAUACACAGACACUAUGACUGCACUUACUGACAGAUUUGGAAGACCUCACCAGUUAGCCUUAACUAAAAUAGCAGCGGUCAUGGAUGCCCCUGAUGUUCAGCCUGGAGAUUUGGCCAGUUUUGAUAGGUUUGCCCUUCAAAUCCAAGCUCUUGUGGGUCUCCUGAAGACAUUAGGUCCUGAAGGUAAUGUGGAAUUACAAUGUGGUUCACAUGUAGCCCGCCUGCUUACUAAACUUCCCCCAGAUUUACGUGCCUCCUUCAGACGACACAUGCCCUAUCAGUCUGGUGCAGUCUACACUCUACUGGAUUUAGCAGAGUGGCUCAAGUUUGAAUCCUGGUGCCAAGAUUGUGAUGACCUAUAUCAAAGAAAGGAUCAGAGACGUAGAAUAGUGCAAACAAAAUCAAGCUCAGUAGUAAAGCCUAGACUUGCCACUGUUCUUCAUGGAGCUGAUCAAACCCCUAACACAGCUACACAGGUACUGUCACCCUCGAAGCAGUCCAACCCAGGCCAGAGGCUUGAACAGAGUAGGGUGUUGUGCCCAUAUUGUGACAGUACAGAACACUUCCUAAGCCAGUGCACCACCUUCCAGAAAUUCAGUAAAGAAGAGAUGAUUAAAUGGAUCAAAGACAACAACCGUUGCUGGAAAUGUGGGCGGUCACACUUAGCGAAAAAUUGCACCCUGAAAAAGCCCUGUCGCUUAUGUAAUGGGAAACACCUUCAAAUCCUACAUGAGGUGAACGACCGAUCACAGACAGAGGGCACCUGCUUGGUGAGCUCCACAAAUAAAACCCUGUACCUAGACAGGCCUGAAGGUUCCAAGCAUGUUCUUCUGAAAGUGAUUCCUGUUGUGCUACAACACAAGAAUAAAACCCUAAACACCUACGCAGUGCUCGAUGAUGGAUCCGAAAGAACCAUGUUACUCCCAGCAGCAGUUCAGAAACUAGGACUUAAGGGACAGACAGAGGACCUAGCAUUAAGAACAAUUCGACAAGAUGUCAAGAAACUCAUUGGAGCCUCAGUUUCCUUUAGGGUGCGCUCAAUAUCACAGCCUCAACGGAGCUACCAAAUCCAGAAUGCCUUUACCUCUGAGCACUUAAGUCUGGCUGAGCACUCCUACCCCAUCUCAAUGCUCCAGCAGAAAUAUCAACACCUGAAAAGGAUUCCAUUGCAGCCCAUCCACAGAGCAUGUCCCCUUCUUCUAAUAGGAGCAGAUCAUCCCCACCUGAUUACACCCAUUGAGCCUGUACUUCUCGGGCCCCCUGGAGGUCCAGCAGCAAUCAGAACCAGACUAGGUUGGACAUUACAAGGCCCAACACGCUUUCUAGAGCAACAGCUCCCACCUCAGCAAUGUUUACAUAUCUCUGUCAACCCUCAAAUGGAAGAACUUUUCCGGAAUGUGGAGAGACUUUGGCAAGGUGAUGCCAUCCCACAUAAGAACGAGAGAUUGGCUGUACGAUCAAAACAAGAUCAGAUGGCAAUGGACUUGUUACAAGCCAGAACCACCAGAGUCAUGGUAGAUGGAGUAAACCGCUAUGCAACACCGCUGCUAAGGAAAGCUAAUAUGCCUCACCUUCAUGCCACGAAGGACUCCGUCAUGCCCAACCUGAGAAGCACAGAGCGACGACUGGCAAAGGAUCCUGUGAAGGCAGCUACGUACAAUGAAGAGAUCAAGAAACUGGAGAAUUCUGGCUAUGUAGUUAAGCUCACCAUGGACUCUGUGACCACUGGAGGAGAAUCGUGGUUUAUUCCCCACCACAUGGUUCAACAUAAUGGAAAAAACCGUGUGGUGUUCAACUGCUCCUUUGAACACAAGGGUCAAAACCUGAACCACUACCUCCUUGCCGGACCUACUCUCAGCCCUUCCCUUUUGGGAGUACUGUUGCGUUUCAGGGAGCAUACUGUUGCAGUAAGUGGAGAUAUAAAGGGUAUGUUUCAUCAGGUCCGCCUACUGCCUGAUGACAAACAUCUCCUCCGAUUUGUCUGGCGUGAUCUUGAACCCAGUAACCCUCCCAGCAUUUAUGAGUGGCAAGUGUUACCCUUUGGCACAACCUGCAGCCCCUGCUGUGCCAUUUAUGCUGUACAGCGCUAUGCUUUGGAGAACACGCAACAAGAUGACACCCUCAGAUCAAUAGUUGAACGGAACUUUUACAUAGACAACUGCCUCAAGAGUGUAAGGUUCCCUGAUGAUGCCAAACAGUUGGUGGAUGGUUUACGUGGCCUUCUUAGCAGUGGUGGGUUUGAGAUUCGUCAAUGGGCCUGCAACAUACCAAAUGUAAUUGAUCACCUUCCUAGAGAGGCUCGUUCAGACAGCAUUGAGCUUUGGCUAGCACAUGACAAGGUCGAACCACAUGAAUCCACUCUUGGCUUGAUAUGGAAUUAUGACGCAGACAUCCUCGGUUACAAACACCGCCCAGUACCAAAAACCACACCCACUCUGCGGCACAUUUAUAAGGUGACAGCAAGCCAAUACGACCCUCUGGGAUUCAUUCUCCCUUUCACCUCCCAUGCUAAAAUUCUGAUCCAACAGUUGUGGAACAAACAAAGAGACUGGGACGACCCCAUGUUGCCAACAGACCUAUUGAAAGCCUGGAACGAGUGGGAGAAUGAGCUCCCCAUCCUUUCAGAAGUUACACUUCCAUGGUGCUAUGUUUCAGCAGAUAUGGACAAACCCAAUGUUACAAGACAAAUUCAUAUCUUCUGUGAUGCUUCAGAACAAGCGUAUGGCUCUGUUUCAUACCUCAGAACUGAAGAUGAAGAGGGUAAAAUUCAGCUUGCAUUCCUGAUCGCCAGAUCCAAAGUUGCCCCCAAACGCAAACAAACUGUUCCGAGACUCGAGCUAUGUGCAGCUCUUACUGGUGCCCAACUAUCCAAGUUGCUAGAAAACGAACUCACAAUUGAUAUCAACCGAGUGGUCUUGUGGUCUGAUUCGACCACAGUUCUUUCAUGGAUAAAAUCUGAAUCCUGCACUUUUAAAGUCUUUGUAGGGACUAGGAUAGCAGAAAUUCAAGACCUAACUGACCAACAUGAAUGGUAA